AAAGCGAGCGGCGGAUGGGUGAGUAACACGUGGGGAACCUGCCCCUAAGUCUGGGAUACCAUUUGGAAACAGGUGCUAAUACCGGAUAAUAAAGCAGAUCGCAUGAUCAGCUUUUGAAAGGCGGCGUAAGCUGUCGCUAAGGGAUGGCCCCGCGGUGCAUUAGCUAGUUGGUAAGGUAACGGCUUACCAAGGCGACGAUGCAUAGCCGAGUUGAGAGACUGAUCGGCCACAUUGGGACUGAGACACGGCCCAAACUCCUACGGGAGGCAGCAGUAGGGAAUCUUCCACAAUGGACGCAAGUCUGAUGGAGCAACGCCGCGUGAGUGAAGAAGGUUUUCGGAUCGUAAAGCUCUGUUGUUGGUGAAGAAGGAUAGAGGUAGUAACUGGCCUUUAUUUGACGGUAAUCAACCAGAAAGUCACGGCUAACUACGUGCCAGCAGCCGCGGUAAUACGUAGGUGGCAAGCGUUGUCCGGAUUUUAUUGGGCCGUAAAGCGGAGCGCAGGCGGAAAAAUAAGUCUAAUGUGAAAGCCCUCGGCUUAACCGAGGAACUGCAUCGGAAACUGUUUUUCUUGUGUGCAGAAGAGGAGAGUGGAACUCCCAUGUGUA
rnacentral:rRNA from 1 species